CAUAGGCAGAGGGAGAAGCGGGGUCCACACAGGGAGCCCAAUGUGGGACUCGAUUCCAGGAGCCAGGGAUCACGACAUGAGCCAAAGGCUCAACCACUGAGCUACCCAGGUGCCCCUAAACGCAAAUAGAUUAAAAAGAAAAAUCACAGCCUCUACAUGGGAGAGGCGAGUGGAGAAUUUGAUGGUGGCCAAAGUCCAAAAAUACAUGACAACACUUCAUCACACCGAAGGAUUCCCCACUCAUAUGGCAUGACAGAAACACAACUUUCCCAAAUGCGUAAUGGAACAGAAAAAGGGGAAGGACAAAAGGGGAAGGGAGUGUACCAGAUGUGGGGUGAAGGGAAGACAGAGACUGUCCUCCACAAGGUAGGCAGCAUGGUGCUGACAGAGCCCCUGCUCUCCCAUGGGGUCCUCCCCAGGGAGAAGGGCUGAAGCUAGAGACAGAAAAACAUUUUUCCGGAAGGGAAGGAAAUGGUGCUGGACUGAGAGCAUCCAACGCGUUAGUAGCAAUGAAAUAUUGGGAGAAACUUGAUGUUGGAUGCAUAACCCUUAAGUUAACUCUCUCCUCCCCCUCUAUCUGUGGCCACAAUCCUCUCACUACUCACAUGGAAGCCGGCCAAGAGAAACUAUCCCCAAACGAUGCUCUUUGAUGUUUUAAUAUUCUGAUUCUCCAACACACAUCAUCACAUGAGCGGGCACCAAGAGUUCCAAAAAGGAGUCCCAAAGUUUGUUUAAAUUUUCUCAGCUGCUCUGUGACUCUGCCAUGACCCCAGCUGGAAGAUUUUUCCAGACAUGGGACAGAAAGUCCCAAAGGAGGGGGGGAAGACAUUGUUUCUGAGAAUGUUCUGAGAACAGCUGAAGAACUGGGACAGACAGAGCACUCAAGGAGCCAAGACUGUCUUGCCUUGUGUUAUUUGUCUUGUCUUUCUCUUUCUUCCUGACUCAAGGGGCCUUGCUGUGUGCUUUGUAGAUCCCCUGUGUGCAGAAAAGCCGCUGUAAUAUGAUGGAGGAUACGUACACGUUCGCUGGAUCGACCUGAGCCAAACAAGGGUAAGAAACCGAGGCACAGGAGGGUAUUGUGCCCAAGACUACCUAGGUGGAAGGUGACAAAUGGAAUGCAGAUAUUCAAAAUAAGCGGACCAAAAGUGGAGCACAGGUUCUGCAUUGGUGCCCAGCAUGUUAACGCUUCCUAUGCUAAGAGCGAACUAAUUCAAGUUGAAUGAGAACUCUGUGAAGGCAGGAAUGUUGUCUAUUUUGUUCCCUACAAUGUCUCCAGCAUCUGAAACACUUGUUGGUACCUCGACACAGCCAUCAUGUUUUGAGGAAGCCCAAGAGUCUGCGGAGAGGCCUGUAGCCAGCAACAACUUAUCAGCCAUGUGUCCUAAAGAGAAUCUUCCAUUGCCCUCUGGAGAGUGUCUCAGAAGCCGAGUAGCAGCUACAGCUCUCA